GGCGAGACUGCGCAUGUCUAAAAGCACCACCGUGGCAAGAUGGCGCCGCGCAGUCUGUACGGUGAUCCGGGAAUGGGGACUUUGCAAACCGUUUAUUUCUUAUUGCUGGCGGUGUUAUCCUCAUCUCUCAUGGCAGCAAAAAUGUCUCCACUGAUUGAGAAAGUCGAUGAUCAAAAAGAACUAAAGAAACUCAUGCGGACAAGAAAUAAUGUACUGGUGCUAUACUCCAAAUCAGCUGCCACGGCUGAGCGACCACUUAAACUGCUCUCUGACGUGGCAGAGGCAGUGAAAGGGCAGGGCACCAUUGCCUGGGUAGAUUGUGGGAACACUGAAAGCAGGAAGCUGUGCAAGAAGAUGAAAGUGGAACCAGCCUCAAAGAAAAAUGGCGUUGAGUUGUUGCAUUACAAGGAUGGAGCUUUCCACGUUGAAUACGAAAGGCCUGAAACGUUCAAGUCAAUGGUGGCAUUUAUGAGGGACCCAGAGGGCGCUCCAUUGUGGGAAGAGAACCCUGACGCGAAGGAUGUGGUUCACAUUGACAGUGAGAAGGAAUUCAGAAAGCUGAUAAAGAAGGAGGAACGACCGAUUCUGAUGAUUUUCUAUGCCCCGUGGUGUGGGGUGUGUAAGCGGAUGAUGCCAGCCUUUCAACAAGCUGCCACAGAGAUAAAGGGCACCCAUGUAAUGGCUGGAAUGAACGUCCAUCCUUCUGAAUUUGAUGAAAUUAAACAGGAAUUUAAUAUUAAAGGAUAUCCAACCUUCUGUUACUUUGAGAAGGGAAAAUUUCUAUUUAAUUUUGAAAACUAUGGAGCUACUGCCCAAGAUUUUGUUGAGUGGAUGAAAAAACCCCAUGAAGCGCAGCCCGAACCCCCAGAGAUCCCAUGGGCAGAGCAAGAGUCUGGAGUGUCUCAUUUAACAGAUGAUACCUUUGAUGGGUUUGUGAAGGAACACCCAUCCGUACUCGUGAUGUUUUAUGCGCCAUGGUGUGGGCACUGUAAAAAGAUGAAGCCAGAGUACGAAGAAGCUGCCGAGAUAUUGAAUAAUGAAAGUGAUAGUCCAGGUGUGUUGGCAGCAGUUGAUGUCACAUCUCAGAAGCAUUUAGGAGAAAGGUUUCAAAUCACUGGCUUCCCAACCCUCAAGUACUUUGAAAAUACUGAAGAGAAAUGGACACUUCCACAUCUGCGGACCAAGGAUAAGAUCAUCGAGUGGCUCCACAAUCCUCAAGCUCCUCCACCACCUGAACAGUCCUGGGAAGAGCAGCAGACCAGUGUCACCCACCUUGGCGCUGAAGAUUUUAAGGAGUUCAUGAAGAAAAAGAAGCAUGCCUUAGUCAUGUUUUAUGCACCUUGGUGCCCUCACUGUAAGAAUACUAUCCCACAUUUCACAGCAGCCGCUGACCAUUUUAAAGAAGAACGAAAGAUUGCCUAUGCUGCAGUCGAUUGCACUAAAGGACAGAAUCAUGAGUUAUGCAAACAGGAAGGUGUGGAGGGAUACCCCAUGAUCAGCUAUUACAAUUAUGGAAAAUUUAUGGAGAGGUACAGUGGGGAAAGAGCGUGUUCAGAGUUUUGUGAUGACCUAUUUUCUUCAAAUGGAGCCCUGCACGACACUUUUGAUGAUGAUGCAGAAAUUGUCGAGUUGCUAGCCCACACACAGUGAGAACAUUCCAAGUUAAAGUCAAAACAACACCUUACAUUAACAAAGCACCUUUUUAAUGUUGUGAAAUGUCCCAAGGUGCCAAAUAUUACAAUAAUUUAGUUUUAUUUUUUCAUGAGUUGUGGACAUUGGUGGCUGGGCCAGAGCGACAGCAGAGGAAAAGACACUUCAGCGCACCAGGAAGCUGCUUUCGUUAACUAUAUCCGAGCAAUGCGAGGGCAGGACCAUGAGAAGAUUUCAAAGCGGAAAGAGGAGUUAUAACGUUACAUACCUCAUGCUUGCCACCACACACUGUGAAAGGGCCCUGUUUUCAUCACUACUGUACCGAAACUUCGCAUUUUCGUAGACAGUUUUUCUUUGCAAACUGAGAUUACCCAAUUAAUUGUCAUAAUGCAGUGGACCACUUGCAGUCUUUUUUUUUAGAAAGGACUGCACUCUAUUAUGAGAAAAGUACAUUUAAAAUGUAAAUGCUGCCUUUCUCACAAUUUUUUCCAAAUACAACACUUGUAACUAGUGAUCAACUAGUACAAAUGUGUCCUGGUGCCAGUAUUGUCAGUGCCCCUGCUGAUUGCAAUAUGUCAGUUUUAAGUUACUUUCAAAAAGGAGGGGGGGAAAAAAAGGCUAGGGUUUCAAUAAAUGCAGGAUAAAGCCAUCCCUUCAAACUGUUUGGAAGAGGAAGAGUCAUUACAUGCCAACAUUUGAGGAAGGCUCCAAGCAUCUGCCUUCUUAGCUACCACAAGAACGGAUCAACCUCGUAGUGGACCUAUUCUGAGAAAGGAACGUUGGAACUAGACUGCAUUUGUUGAUCGCUAGCUCGUGUUCUAUGCAAAUGUUUUGUAGUUGCGGGUUUUCUAUUUUAAGGGCCAUAAAUGUGGUCUGAGAUGGCCUGUGAUUGCCAGGCUUUUCUCACGGGGCUGGGUGGGUAUUAAAGUCUGGAAAGGGUAGAAAACAAUUUAAAAUUUUAAUCAAAUUGCUCAGGGAUGGCACAAGGAAGUUCCAAAAAAAAGUCAAAUACAAUUAUUUUUGAAUUCUGUGAUUACUUAGGGUGCUUCAGAAUACUGCAGCUAAUUAAGUGGGUGAAAUAAUCAGGCAGAAUGGAAAGGGUAUGGGUACAACUUUUGCCUUCAUAUAUUGGUCCAGUAAUGAUUGAUUAUUUUUGGAUUGCAUGUUGAAUAUGAAUAUAAAAGAUUGACCUUAUUGAAAUAAAUCUAAUAAAAUGUUUUUGUGUUUUA